AAACUCAAAACUUACAACACAAAACGCAAAAUGCAAUGUGCUUUUAAAUUAAUUUGACAUCCUUCCAAACGCGUGCUUUUAAAUUAAUUUGACAUCCUUCCAAACGCACACAAACCCUUCUUCUCUGUCUUGUUUUCUUUGAGUGCAUGGCAAUUUGGGGGGUUUUCUUUGGAAUUAGGACAUACAUUUUCGCUGAGUUGAUCCUUGAAACAGCGGAGAAGAUGUAAUCCCAUCGAGACUGUCUUUCGCAUUUGAUAAACAAGUGGUAACUGUAACUGUAAGAGUGUGAGUGAGGAUUGGGUUUUGGCAUGAAGGGUGCUUUGGAUCGGACGAAGGCCUGCCGCCCUCUCUUUCCGAGGCCGCACUCUUGGCCCAAAUUGAUGCCGCCUUCGCUGACCGCUACAACUGGUUCUCUUUCCGUCCUGACAAAAUCAGGUCUUCUUUACCUAAUAGAGCAUGAAGCUCAUACUAAAUUGCUGGCUUUGUUAUUAAGGAUUAUCAAGCUUUUGAUAUCAUCUACACCGUCCCUGUUCGCUCAUUAGCGCACUAUAAUAAUCACAUCUGCAUUCAGUACUUUGCUGCCUCCAAACGGUUGAACGCACAAUACUAAUAUUUUAUAGUAAAACUUCUGCGGAGCUUGAAGCAUUGAAUAAAUCACUUAAGGAUUUACUUGAUGGAAUACAAUGUAAAGGAUGAGCGUGAGUGUGAACCUGUGAUACAAACAACAGGCCUUGGCACCUCUUGUGGAUGCUCUGAAAUUACAAGGAGGUUUGAAUUAAUGAUAAAUAUCAAGUAUGUGCAGCCAAGAAAAAGGGAGUUUCUUUUAUAUCAAAUGCUUUUGAUAUACUUAAAUUGUGUUGUAUGGCCUGCAAUUGAUAGGAUUAUAAUCGUUUGAUCUGCUGAAUUAGUGGAAUUGUUUGUGCAGUAUCAGUUGAGACAUUAUUUGAGAGCAACGAGGAUCAAUUUCGUGCAUCAAGUUUGACAAGACCGAGAAAGGGAAGUUCUAAUUGCUUUAUCUUUUUGUGCAAACUAGUUUGGUUAAGGGUGUAAGUGACAACAACCUUGUUCAUUUGUGUUGCAGGAUUGGAACAUCAAACUUCAUGAUGAGAUCGAGCUAGUUGAAGGCCACAUUUUGAUCCAGUGAAGCGUUGCAGCAGUUGACCGUAUCAAGAAAGUAGCGUAGCUUUUGUUUUUUAUUUUCCUUGUAUUUGAUUUGUGAUGGGCUGGUGUCAGCCUACUGUUACUCUUAGUUUUAGCUUUGGUUUGUAAAAGGUCUUUUAAAAGUCCAAGUGCAUUGGAGGAGUUCUUAGUACUCUUUCCAACUCUUGGCAAUUUUGAUUACUCUUUUUAAAUUUGACAUAGCUAGACAGGUGAGUGUGUUUUGUUAGCUAAAGUUACAAGCCUCACCAUAGGAGUAGAAUUUUAUAUUGUUUGAUUGUCUUUGCCUUUUGUGAUCACGUUUUAGGGGUCAUUAGAGUCUGUUGCUAAUUGUUUGUGAGUUGAGUUCUUUGAUUUUGAAAGUGAUUUUAUUUUAAAGGGUAAUUAGUAAGUAGCUUAAGACAUAUCUGGCCAAGGCAAGACUUGGUAUUUAAGUAAUCUUUCUGGUUUACUUUUCUUACAUGAGAUUUGUCUCAAGUGGAAGUUUUUUCAUCCUUUAGAUUAAGAAAAUUUUUAAAAACAAAGAUGUCUUAUUAUAGUUCAGAUAGGUCUUCUAGGUUAGAUAAUGUUGAUGAAAUGUUUAAUCUAACAUUCUUUGGAAACUGUGCAUUAACAUACUUAGCUUGGGAAAAACAAUUUGAUAAAAUAGAUCCUUGGUUUUAUAGUGAGAGUGAAUAUUAUAUUCUUAGCAUUUAUCUUUCUAAGUUAGAAGGGCAUGCAAGUGAGUGGUGGGAAGAAAGGCAAUUUUAUGUUAGGAAAGGUAGAAAGUAUUCCAUUAGUGAUUGGAAGGGUUUAGGGUUUAGGAUGUGUUUGUGUAAUGUGUGUUUGUGUAUGUAUGAGUGUGUGUGUA